AACGAACGCUGGCGGCAGGCCUAACACAUGCAAGUCGAGCGAGGACUUCGGUUCUAGCGGCGGACGGGUGAGUAACGCGUGGGAAUGUGCCCUUCUCUACGGAAUAGCCCUGGGAAACUGGGAGUAAUACCGUAUACGCCCUAUUGGGGAAAGAUUUAUCGGAGAAGGAUCAGCCCGCGUUGGAUUAGGUAGUUGGUGGGGUAAUGGCCUACCAAGCCGACGAUCCAUAGCUGGUUUGAGAGGAUGAUCAGCCACACUGGGACGGAGACACGGCCCAGACUCCUACGGGAGGCAGCAGUGGGGAAUCUUAGACAAUGGGGGCAACCCUGAUCUAGCCAUGCCGGGUGAGUGAUGAAGGCCUUAGGGUUGUAAAGCUCUUUCAGCUGGGAAGAUAAUGACGGUACCAGCAGAAGAAGCCCCGGCUAACUCCGUG
rnacentral:rRNA from 1 species